rnacentral:rRNA from 1 species
UAUCAAUGCUGACGAGCGGCGGACGGGUGAGUAAUGCCUGGGAAUAUGCCCUGAUGUGGGGGAUAACUAUUGGAAACGAUAGCUAAUACCGCAUAAUCUCUUCGGAGCAAAGAGGGGGACCUUCGGGCCUCUCGCGUCAGGAUUAGCCCAGGUGGGAUUAGCUUGUUGGUGAGGUAAUGGCUCACCAAGGCAACGAUCCCUAGCUGGUCUGAGAGGAUGAUCAGCCACACUGGAACUGAGACACGGUCCAGACUCCUACGGGAGGCAGCAGUGGGGAAUAUUGCACAAUGGGGGAAACCCUGAUGCAGCCAUGCCGCGUGUAUGAAGAAGGCCUUCGGGUUGUAAAGUACUUUCAGUUGUGAGGAAGGCAGUAAAGUUAAUAGCUUUGCUGUUUGACGUUAGCAACAGAAGAAGCACCGGCUAACUCCGUGCCAGCAGCCGCGGUAAUACGGAGGGUGCGAGCGUUAAUCGGAAUUACUGGGCGUAAAGCGCAUGCAGGUGGUCUGUUAAGCAAGAUGUGAAAGCCCGGGGCUCAACCUCGGAACAGCAUUUUGAACUGGCAGACUAGAGUACUGUAGAGGGGGGUAGAAUUUCAGGUGUAGCGGUGAAAUGCGUAGAGAUCUGA